rnacentral:rRNA from 1 species
AGAGUUUGAUCCUGGCUCAGAACGAACGCUGGCGGCAGGCUUAACACAUGCAAGUCGAACGCCCCGCAAGGGGAGUGGCAGACGGGUGAGUAACGCGUGGGAACAUACCCUCUCCUGCGGAAUAGCUCCGGGAAACUGGAAUUAAUACCGCAUACGCCCUACGGGGGAAAGAUUUAUCGGGGAAGGAUUGGCCCGCGUUGGAUUAGCUAGUUGGUGGGGUAAAGGCCUACCAAGGCGACGAUCCAUAGCUGGUCUGAGAGGAUGAUCAGCCACAUUGGGACUGAGACACGGCCCAAACUCCUACGGGAGGCAGCAGUGGGGAAUAUUGGACAAUGGGCGCAAGCCUGAUCCAGCCAUGCCGCGUGAGUGAUGAAGGCCUUAGGGUUGUAAAGCUCUUUCACCGGAGAAGAUAAUGACGGUAUCCGGAGAGGAAGCCCCGGCUAACUUCGUGCCAGCAGCCGCGGUAAUACGAAGGGGGCUAGCGUUGUUCGGAAUUACUGGGCGUAAAGCGCACGUAGGCGGAUAUUUAAGUCAGGGGUGAAAUCCCAGAGCUCAACUCUGGAACUGCCUUUGAUACUGGGUAUCUUGAGUAUGGAAGAGGUAAGUGGAAUUCCGAGUGUAGAGGUGAAAUUCGUAGAUAUUCGGAGGAACACCAGUGGCGAAGGCGGCUUACUGGUCCAUUACUGACGCUGAGGUGCGA